rnacentral:rRNA from 1 species
ACGCACGCUGGCGGCGUGCUUCACACAUGCCAGUCGAACGGAAAGGCCCUGCUUUUGUGGGGUGCUCGAGUGGCGAACGGGUGAGUAACACGUGAGUAACCUGCCCUUGACUUUGGGAUAACUUCAGGAAACUGGGGCUAAUACCGGAUAGGAGCUCCUGCUGCAUGGUGGGGGUUGGAAAGUUUCGGCGGUUGGGGAUGGACUCGCGGCUUAUCAGCUUGUUGGUGGGGUAGUGGCUUACCUAGGCUUUGACGGGUAGCCGGCCUGAGAGGGUGACCGGCCACAUUGGGACUGAGAUACGGCCCAGACUCCUACGGGAGGCAGCAGUGGGGAAUAUUGCACAAUGGGCGGAAGCCUGAUGCAGCAACGCCGCGUGCGGGAUGACGGCCUUCGGGUUGUAAACCGCUUUCGCCUGUGACGAAGCGUGAGUGACGGUAAUGGGUAAAGAAGCACCGGCUAACUACGUG